UCCCUAUGCCACAGGUGUGGCCUUAAAAAGCAAAGCAAAAAAAAAAAAAAAACAACGAAAAACUGAGCUUGCCUUCUCUCUAAAUUGAUUCCUUUCCUGCCCAGGAGUGAAAGAGUGACAGGGAGGCAUCAAUGAAGUCAACUGCAUCCAGUUUAUUCUGGAGACACCAGACCUAAAGGACUUGUCAGAGAACACUGAGCUCACUGAGUGAAAAAGCCUGAGCUAAGCUGCUGGAGGAGAGGGCAUCUGAAGCAGAAACAUCAAGUUCCAGCAGAGAUCUCUCCAGAACAAUCAACCCACCAACGAUCAGAAAUGGCUAGAACUAGGUGGAAGACCAAUGAAGAAGUAGAAGACUUGAACAAUGCUAUAAACAAACUAGAUCCGAUAGAACAUCCCAACCAACAACAGCAGAAUACCCAGUCUUCUCAAAUACACAUGAGAAGUCCUCCAGGAUAGAUGAUAUGCUAAGCCAAAAACAAACCUUAAUACAUUUAAGAGGAUGGAAAUAAUACAAAGUAUGUUCUCCAACAAAGUGUUGAUGAAAAUCAGUCAGUCUAAGAAAUAAAUAGGAGAGAGUUCCCAUCGUGGCGCAGUGGUUAACGAAUCCGACUAGGAACU